AUUGAACGCUGGCGGCAGGCCUGACACAUGCAAGUCGAGCGGAGCGGCGGACGGGUGAGUAAUGCCUAGGAAUCUGACUGGUAGUGGGGGAUAACGUCCGGAAACGGGCGCUAAUACCGCAUACUAUCAGAUGAGCCUAGGUCGGCUUAGCUAGUUGGUGGGGUAAAGGCCUACCAAGGCGACGAUCCGUAACUGGUCUGAGAGGAUGAUCAGUCAAACUGGAAUUGAGACACGGUCCAAACUCCUAAGGGAGGCAGCAGUGGGGAAUAUUGGACAAUGGGCGAAAGCCGGAUCCAGCCAUGCCGCGUGUGUGAAGAAGGUCUUCGGAUUGUAAAGCACUUUAAGUGGGGAGGCGGUACCAACAGAAUAAGAACCGGCGAACUAUGUGCGAGCAGCCGCGGUAAUAC
rnacentral:rRNA from 1 species